UACGUAGGGUGCGAGCGUUAAUCGGAAUUACUGGGCGUAAAGCGUGCGCAGGCGGUUUGUUAAGACAGAUGUGAAAUCCCCGGGCUUAACCUGGGAACUGCAUUUGUGACUGGCAAGCUAGAGUAUGGCAGAGGGGGGUAGAAUUCCACGUGUAGCAGUGAAAUGCGUAGAGAUGUGGAGGAAUACCGAUGGCGAAGGCAGCCCCCUGGGCCAAUACUGACGCUCAUGCACGAAAGGCGUGGG
rnacentral:rRNA from 1 species